CAAUUGAACGAAAUGUGCCACU
rnacentral:piRNA from 1 species